rnacentral:rRNA from 1 species
GCAAUGCGGCAGCUACCAUGCAGUCGUACGAGAAGGUUCCUUCGGGAACUGGAGAGUGGCGCACGGGUGAGUAACGCGUGGGGACCUACCUCUUAGUGGGGGAUAACGGUUGGAAACGACCGCUAAUACCGCAUACGCCCUUCGGGGGAAAGAUUUAUCGCUAAGAGAUGGACCCGCGUUGGAUUAGAUAGUUGGUGAGGUAACGGCUCACCAAGUCAGCGAUCCAUAGCUGGUUUGAGAGGAUGAUCAGCCACACUGGGACUGAGACACGGCCCAGACUCCUACGGGAGGCAGCAGUGGGGAAUAUUGGACAAUGGGCGCAAGCCUGAUCCAGCCAUGCCGCGUGAGUGAAGAAGGCCUUCGGGUUGUAAAGCUCUUUCAGAUGCGAAGAUGAUGACGGUAACAUCAGAAGAAGCCCCGGCUAAUUUCGUGCCAGCAGCCGCGGUAAUACGAAAGGGGCAAGCGUUGUUCGGAUUUACUGGGCGUAAAGGGCACGCAGGCGGUCCUGCCAGUCAGGGGUGAAAGCCCGGGGCUCAACCCCGGAACUGCCUCUGAUACUGCAGGACUAGAGACUAGGAGAGGGUGGUGGAAUUCCCAGUGUAGAGGUGAAAUUCGUAGAUAUUGGGAGGAACACCAGAGGCGAAGGCGGCCACCUGGACUAGAUCUGACGCUCAGGUGCGAAAGCGUGGGGAGCAAACAGGAUUAGUCUCU